UACGAAGGGGCCAGCGUUGCUCGGAAUUACUGGGCGUAAAGCGCACGUAGGCGGCUUCUAAGUCAGGGUGAAAUCCUGGAGCUCAACUCCAGAACUGCCUUUGAUACUGAGGAUCUUGAGUUCGGGAGAGGUGAGUGGAACUGCGAGUGUAGAGGUGAAAUUCGUAGAGUAUUCGCAAGAACACCAGUGGCGAAGGCGAACUACCUGGCCUGUUCGUGACGCUGAGGCGCGAAAGCUAGGGAGCAACGGGG
rnacentral:rRNA from 1 species